UACGUAGGGGGGCUAGCGUUGUCCGGAAUCAUUGGGCGUAAAGCGCGCGUAGGCGGCCCGGUAAGUCCGCUGUGAAAGUCAAAGGCUCAACCUUUGAAUGUCAGCGGAUACUGCCGGGCUAGAGUCCGGAAGAGGCGAGUGGAAUUCCCGUGGUGUAGCGGUGGAAUGCGCAGAUAUCAGGAGGAACACCAACGGCGAAGGCAGUGUCCUGGCGCGUAACUGACGCUGAGGUGCGAAAGCCAGGGGAGCGAACGGG
rnacentral:rRNA from 1 species